CCUACGGGAGACAGCAGUGGGGGAUAUUGCACAAUGGGGGAACCCCUGAUGCAGCGACGCCGCGUGAGUGAAGAAGUAUUUCUGUAUGUAAAGCUCUAUCAGCAGGGAAGAAAAUGACAGUACCUGACCAAGAAGCCCCGGCUAACUACGUGCCAGCAGCCGCGGACAUACGUAGGGGGCAAGCGUUAGCCGGAUGUACUGGGUGUCAAGGGAGCGUAGACGGUUAUGGAAGUCUGGAGUGAAAGCCCGGGGCCCCACCCCGGGACUGCCUUGGAAACUGUGUAACUGGAGUACAGGAGGGGCAGGCGGACUUCCUGUUGUAGCGGUGAAAUGCGUAGAUAUCACGAGGAACUCCUGCGGCGAAGGCGGCCUGCUGGACUGAAACUGACGUUGAGGCUCGAAAGCGUGGGGAGCAAACAGGAUUAGAUACCCUUGUAGUC
rnacentral:rRNA from 1 species